rnacentral:lncRNA from 1 species
CAGCUUCCUACCGCAGCCUCCUGACUCUGAAGACUGAAGUCUCGACUACUUGUCGGCAGUGGUUUCUUCCCAGUUUUUGUAGAAAUACCAAAAAUCAAGGUUGGGAAAUACAAGGAGAAAUAUUGACAGAAUCAUCUUCUUUUCCCAGGAAACUUGGAUGCUAGUGCCCAAUGAUGCCCAUCAACGC